rnacentral:rRNA from 1 species
UGGUCUUGACAUCCCGGAGACCCUUAGGAAACUAGGGGGUGCUUUCCAUCUGGAAGAAUCUGGAGACAGGUGCUGCAUGGCUGUCGUCAGCUCGUGUCGUGAGAUGUUGGGUUAAGUCCCGCAACGAGCGCAACCCUUGCCUUUAGUUGCCAGCAGUUCGGCUGGGCACUCUAAAGGGACUGCCGGUGUUAAACCGGAGGAAGGUGGGGAUGACGUCAAGUCCUCAUGGCCUUUAUGACCAGGGCUACACACGUACUACAAUGGCCGAUACAAAGGGCAGCGACACUGCGAGGUGAAGCCAAUCCCGUAAAAUCGGUCUCAGUCCGGAUUGGAGUCUGCAACUCGACUCCAUGAAGUUGGAAUCGCUAGUAAUCGUGGAUCAGCAUGCCACGGUGAAUACGUUCCCGGGCCUU